AGCGAACGCUGGCGGCAGGCUUAACACAUGCAAGUCGAGCGGGCGUAGCAAUACGUCAGCGGCAGACGGGUGAGUAACGCGUGGGAACGUACCUUUGGUUCGGAACAACACAGGGAAACUUGUGCUAAUACCGGAUAAGCCCUUACGGGGAAAGAUUUAUCGCCGAAAGAUCGGCCCGCGUCUGAUUAGCUAGUUGGUAGGGUAAUGGCCUACCAAGGCGACGAUCAGUAGCUGGUCUGAGAGGAUGAUCAGCCACAUUGGGACUGAGACACGGCCCAAACUCCUACGGGAGGCAGCAGUGGGGAAUAUUGGACAAUGGGGGCAACCCUGAUCCAGCCAUGCCGCGUGAGUGAUGAAGGCCCUAGGGUUGUAAAGCUCUUUUGUGCGGGAAGAUAAUGACGGUACCGCAAGAAUAAGCCCCGGCUAACUUCGUGCCAGCAGCCGCGGUAAU
rnacentral:rRNA from 1 species